GACGAACGCUGGCGGCGUGCUUAACACAUGCAAGUCGAACGGAAAGGCCCUGCUUUUGUGGGGUGCUCGAGUGGCGAACGGGUGAGUAACACGUGAGUAACCUGCCCUUGACUUUGGGAUAACUUCAGGAAACUGGGGCUAAUACCGGAUAGGAGCUCCUGCUGCAUGGUGGGGGUUGGAAAGUUUCGGCGGUUGGGGAUGGACUCGCGGCUUAUCAGCUUGUUGGUGGGGUAGUGGCUUACCAAGGCUUUGACGGGUAGCCGGCCUGAGAGGGUGACCGGCCACAUUGGGACUGAGAUACGGCCCAGACUCCUACGGGAGGCAGCAGUGGGGAAUAUUGCACAAUGGGCGGAAGCCUGAUGCAGCAACGCCGCGUGCGGGAUGACGGCCUUCGGGUUGUAAACCGCUUUCGCCUGUGACGAAGCGUAAGUGACGGUAAUGGGUAAAGAAGCACCGGCUAACUACGUGC
rnacentral:rRNA from 1 species